rnacentral:sRNA from 1 species
CUCUGACCCAGGAAGAAGUACCCAGGAUAUUAAUUCUCAAUGAGGCAGGGAAGAGAAAAUCCCAACUGCCGUCCUGCAUCAAAGUUAAACACUCAUCUCUCUCUUGUUCUUAAGGAGAAGUGGAGGCCUCUCAGUUAAGAAGACUGAAUAUAAAGAAAGAUGAUGAGUUUUUCCAUUUCGUCCUCCUGUGCUUUGCCAUCGGGGCCUUGCUGGUGUGUUAUCACUAUUACGCAGACUGGUUCAUGUCUCUUGGGGUCGGCCUGCUCACCUUCGCCUCCCUGGAAACCGUUGGCAUCUACUUCGGACUAGUGUACCGCAUCCACAGCGUCCUCCAAGGCUUCAUCCCCCUCUUCCAGAAGUUUAGGCUGACAGGGUUCAGGAAGACUGACUGAGGCCACUGCCAGGUGGGCAGCAGAGGCAGGCCCUGGGGUGACCACCACUGCGACCCCUGAGCCCACAAGGGCGGAGCAGCGUUCUGAGAGACGCGCAGGAGACCAAGCCAGACCA